AUUGAACGCUGGCGGCAUGCUUUACACAUGCAAGUCGAACGGUAACAGGGUGUUUGCACCGCUGACGAGUGGCGAACGGGUGAGUAAUGCGUCGGAACGUGCCGAGUAGUGGGGGAUAACGCAGCGAAAGUUGUGCUAAUACCGCAUACGUACUGAGGUAGAAAGUGGGGGACCUUCGGGCCUCACGCUAUUCGAGCGGCCGACGUCUGAUUAGCUAGUAGGUGCGGUAAAGGCUCACCUAGGCGACGAACAGUAGCGGGUCUGAGAGGAUGAUGCGGCACACUGGGACUGAGACACGAGCCAGACUCCUACGGGAGGCAGCAGUGGGGAAUGUUGGACAAUGGGCGAAAGCCUGAUCCAGCCAUGCCGCGUGUCUGAAGAAGGCCUUCGGGUUGUAAAGGACUUUUGUCGGGGAGGAAAUCCCCAGCGUUAAUACCGCUGGGGGAUGACAGUACCUGAAGAAUAAGCACCGGCUAACUACGUGCCAGCAGCCGCGGUAACAC
rnacentral:rRNA from 1 species